GAAUCCCGCUGGUUUUCCCAKUAACGGCGAGUGUCCGGCGAAWGCUCAAUUUGAAAUCCUGCGGGAAUUGUAAUUUGAAGGUUUCCUGGUCUGAGUCGGCCGCGCCCAAUUCCAUUGGAACAUGGCGCCUGGGAGGGUGAGAGCCCCGUAUGGCGCACGCCGACUCUUUGCACCCCGGCUCCGACGAGUCGAGUUGUUUGGGAAUGCAGCUCUAAAUGGGUGGUAAAUUCCAUCUAAAGCUAAAUAUUGACGAGAGACCGAUAGCGAACAAGUACAGUGAUGGAAAGAUGAAAAGCACUUUGAAAAGAGAGUGAAACACCACGUGAAAUUGUUGAAAGGGAAGGGCUUGCAAGCAGACCCUGUUUUACCGGGCCAGCGUCAAAUAAACGGGGGGGAAAAGGGGGAAAGAAUGUGGCGCGUGCCUUCYGGUUCGCGUGUUAUAGCUUUCUCUAAUACCCCCAUGUUUGUUUGAGGCCUGCGAUUCUAGGAGGCUGGCGUACUGGUUGCAAGCCGGCCGUCUUGAAACACGGACCAUUGGGGGGUUUCUCUUUUCUCUUCGGGGCCUCAUGGAUUGGGGGGCCYRAUGAAAAAAACCUUAAUACAACUGCUGUUUUUUUUGGGGGAAAAAAAAACC
rnacentral:rRNA from 1 species